UCAUAUGGGCUUAACUAUACUGUAGUAAAAAAUACACAAAUAAAUAUAUGUGUGUGUGUGUGUGUGUAUAUAUAUAUACACACACAUAUACUAUAUGUAUGUAUAAAAAAUAAA
rnacentral:miRNA from 12 species